GACGAACGCUGGCGGCGUGCUUAACACGUGCAAGUCGAGCGGUAAGGCCCUUUCGGGGGUACACGAGCGGCGAACGGGUGAGUAACACGUGGGUGACCUGCCCUCAGCUCUGGGAUAAGCCUGGGAAACCGGGUCUAAUACCGGAUAUGACUCCAUGACGCAUGUUGUGGGGUGGAAAGCCUUGUGCGGCUGAGGAUGGGCCCGCGGCCUAUCAGCUUGUUGGUGGGGUGANGGCCUACCAAGGCGACGACGGGUAGCCGGCCUGAGAGGGCGACCGGCCACACUGGGACUGAGACACGGGCCCAGACUCCUACGGGAGGCAGCAGUGGGGAAUUUGGACAAUGGGGAAACCUGAUCCAGCCAUGCCGCGUGAGUGAAGAAGGCC
rnacentral:rRNA from 1 species